GAAAGUAGGGAGAUAGCAUAGAGCAUCACUAAUAAACAUAUUCGGUAGCGCUUAUAAGUGCAUUCCGAAAGAGAACUCCGAAAGUGGAUCGUAAGCGCAAGCUUUACGCCGAGCUUACGAAAGAGAGUCGCUGCAGUGUUAGCACAUGCAAGCGAGAGCGGCGCUUAUCUUAAAAAAGAUAGUUAGGUAGCGUGAGCAUAGAAGUUGCCCUUGACGUUUGACCGAAAUUCCACUCAAUUCAGCGAAAGAUCAUACGAUUGUCCCGUUAAAGCUCGCAAACAUCAUCCGAUCUAUGAGCUUUAUGUUCUGUACAGCCUAAUUUAACUUGGAUGAGUUUCGCUUGAGUUAAUAGCAAAGAGUCGAUCAACGAAAAGAGACGUGAUUGUGUCAAGCAAUAUAUAUAUAUAUAUAUAUAUAUAUAUACGUAACCUACAUACAUAUAUCUUACGCAAUCCCUCGUGGUGAAAUUUUAGUGCAAAAGCCGUGUAUUCUGAGAAAUCUCUGUGGAUCGGUGCUAGUACCAAGCGUGAAUAAUAAUUAACCAAGGACAGAGGUCAGGAGCCCGUUCCGUCGUUGCAGCCUGAGUGCGCAUAAGUACAUAGACGGGGUGCUCCACGAGAGGAGUAUCACCGAAGUGAUCCUCCAACCUAAAAGGGGUACCAUUCGACCCCCCUCUACUGACGGAAACGCUGAGCACCGAAAACCUCUGACUUGGGUCAACUUUAUUGAGGCGUCGCAACCCUUAGGAAGCCCAGUGCAAAAGGGGGCGCCUCGGAACUUUAAUCAACUCCAGUGAGAAGACCAGUUUGUCGCGCACUGUAGUGCCAAUGUAAGCUGCAGCUUGACCUGCAGUCGGAUGUUCCCCGCUUAAGCCCAGUGUGAAGAAGACCAGAACAUUGGGCGUGAUAUUUGACGGGCAUGCCUACAGAGUAGCCGCCGCCGACGCUACAGAAAGAUGUCCGUAGUUGCUCUGUGUUAACUUACACAUUUUCGGGAUUUGAGUUAAUAUGCCUUUUUAAGGCCAAUUCUCUGGCGGAGAUAUAUAGAAAUGUAUUUUUUUGAGCAUCGGGAAUUAUGAGUGUUGGUAGAAAAGAGUGGAAACCAGCACCUACGUCAUCCAUGAGCUCAUCGAUUACGAAAGGAGUAAGGGUUUUAAAAUAUCAAAACCAAACGAAAACUGUGAGUUUGUAAACUU